rnacentral:rRNA from 1 species
GGGACACGUGGUAUCCUGUCUGAAUAUGGGGGGACCAUCCUCCAAGGCUAAAUACUCCUGACUGACCGAUAGUGAACCAGUACCGUGAGGGAAAGGCGAAAAGAACCCCGGCGAGGGGAGUGAAAAAGAACCUGAAACCGUGUACGUACAAGCAGUGGGAGCACGCUUAGGCGUGUGACUGCGUACCUUUUGUAUAAUGGGUCAGCGACUUAUAUUCUGUAGCAAGGUUAACCGAAUAGGGGAGCCGAAGGGAAACCGAGUCUUAACUGGGCGUUAAGUUGCAGGGUAUAGACCCGAAACCCGGUGAUCUAGCCAUGGGCAGGUUGAAGGUUGGGUAACACUAACUGGAGGACCGAACCGACUAAUGUUGAAAAAUUAGCGGAUGACUUGUGGCUGGGGGUGAAAGGCCAAUCAAACCGGGAGAUAGCUGGUUCUCCCCGAAAGCUAUUUAGGUAGCGCCUCGUGAAUUCAUCUCCGGGGGUAGAGCACUGUUUCGGCAAGGGGGUCAUCCCGACUUACCAACCCGAUGCAAACUGCGAAUACCGGAGAAUGUUAUCACGGGAGACACACGGCGGGUGCUAACGUCCGUCGUGAAGAGGGAAACAACCCAGACCGCCAGCUAAGGUCCCAAAGUCAUGGUUAAGUGGGAAACGAUGUGGGAAGGCCCAGACAGCCAGGAUGUUGGCUUAGAAGCAGCCAUCAUUUAAAGAAAGCGUAAUAGCUCACUGGUCGAGUCGGCCUGCGCGGAAGAUGUAACGGGGCUAAACCAUGCACCGAAGCUGCGGCAGCGACGCUGAUGCGUUGUUGGGUAGGGGAGCGUUCUGUAAGCCUGCGAAGGUGUGCUGUGAGGCAUGCUGGAGGUAUCAGAAGUGCGAAUGCUGACAUAAGUAACGAUAAAGCGGGUGAAAAGCCCGCUCGCCGGAAGACCAAGGGUUCCUGUCCAACGUUAAUCGGGGCAGGGUGAGUCGACCCCUAAGGCGAGGCCGAAAGGCGUAGUCGAUGGGAAACAGGUUAAUAUUCCUGUACUUGGUGUUACUGCGAAGGGGGGACGGAGAAGGCUAUGUUGGCCGGGCGACGGUUGUCCCGGUUUAAGCGUGUAGGCUGGUUUUCCAGGCAAAUCCGGAAAAUCAAGGCUGAGGCGUGAUGACGAGGCACUACGGUGCUGAAGCAACAAAUGCCCUGCUUCCAGGAAAAGCCUCUAAGCAUCAGGUAACAUCAAAUCGUACCCCAAACCGACACAGGUGGUCAGGUAGAGAAUACCAAGGCGCUUGAGAGAACUCGGGUGAAGGAACUAGGCAAAAUGGUGCCGUAACUUCGGGAGAAGGCACGCUGAUAUGUAGGUGAAGUCCCUCGCGGAUGGAGCUGAAAUCAGUCGAAGAUACCAGCUGGCUGCAACUGUUUAUUAAAAACACAGCACUGUGCAAACACGAAAGUGGACGUAUACGGUGUGACGCCUGCCCGGUGCCGGAAGGUUAAUUGAUGGGGUUAGCGCAAGCGAAGCUCUUGAUCGAAGCCCCGGUAAACGGCGGCCGUAACUAUAACGGUCCUAAGGUAGCGAAAUUCCUUGUCGGGUAAGUUCCGACCUGCACGAAUGGCGUAAUGAUGGCCAGGCUGUCUCCACCCGAGACUCAGUGAAAUUGAACUCGCUGUGAAGAUGCAGUGUACCCGCGGCAAGACGGAAAGACCCCGUGAACCUUUACUAUAGCUUGACACUGAACAUUGAGCCUUGAUGUGUAGGAUAGGUGGGAGGCUUUGAAGUGUGGACGCCAGUCUGCAUGGAGCCGACCUUGAAAUACCACCCUUUAAUGUUUGAUGUUCUAACGUUGACCCGUAAUCCGGGUUGCGGACAGUGUCUGGUGGGUAGUUUGACUGGGGCGGUCUCCUCCUAAAGAGUAACGGAGGAGCACGAAGGUUGGCUAAUCCUGGUCGGACAUCAGGAGGUUAGUGCAAUGGCAUAAGCCAGCUUGACUGCGAGCGUGACGGCGCGAGCAGGUGCGAAAGCAGGUCAUAGUGAUCCGGUGGUUCUGAAUGGAAGGGCCAUCGCUCAACGGAUAAAAGGUACUCCGGGGAUAACAGGCUGAUACCGCCCAAGAGUUCAUAUCGACGGCGGUGUUUGGCACCUCGAUGUCGGCUCAUCACAUCCUGGGGCUGAAGUAGGUCCCAAGGGUAUGGCUGUUCGCCAUUUAAAGUGGUACGCGAGCUGGGUUUAGAACGUCGUGAGACAGUUCGGUCCCUA